CAUACAGCUCAGUAACACGUGGCUAACCUGCCCUUGGGAUAGGAAUACCCCCGGGAAACUGGGGCUAAUGCCCAAUAGGCGAAGAACUCUGGAAUGAGUCUUCACCCAAAAGAGCCUACGUUAUGCUCGUAGGUUUCGCCCAAGGAUGGGGCCGCGACCGAUCAGGUUGUUGGUGAGGUAAUGGCUCACCAAGCCUUUUACCGGUGCGGGCCGUGGGAGCGGGAGCCCGGAGAUGGGCACUGAGACAAGGGCCCAGGCCCUACGGGGCGCAGCAGUCGCGAAGACUUUGCAAUAGGCGAAAGCUUGACAGGGCUAUCCCGAGUGCCAUCCGCUGAGGAAGGCUUUUACCCAGUCUAGAACGCUGGGGGAAUAAGGAGAGGGCAAGUCUGGUGUCAGCCGCCGCGGUAAUACCAGCUCUCCGAGUAGUGUGGAUGUUUAUUGGGCCUAAAGCAUCCGUAGCUGGCUAGGUUAGUCCCCUGUUUAAUCCACCGAAUUAAUCGUUGGAUUGCGGGGGAUACUACUUGGCUAGGGGACGAGAGAGGCAGACGGUAUUUCCGGGGUAGGGGUGAAAUCCUAUAAUCCCGGGAAGACCACCAGUGGCGAAGGCUGUCUGCUAGAACGCGCCCGACGGUGAGGGAUGAAAGCUGGGAGAGCGAACC
rnacentral:rRNA from 1 species